UACAGAGGUCCCGAGCGUUGUUCGGAUUCAUUGGGCGUAAAGGGUGCGUAGGCGGCGGGGCAAGUCUGAUGUGAAAUCCCGGGGCUCAACCCCGGAACUGCAUUGGAUACUGCCUUGCUAGAGUACUGGAGAGGGAACUGGAAUUUACGGUGUAGCAGUGAAAUGCGUAGAGAUCGUAAGGAAGGCCAGUGGCGAAGGCGGGUUGCUGGGCUGACACUGACGCUGAAGCGCGAAAGCUAGGGGAGCGAACGGG
rnacentral:rRNA from 1 species